rnacentral:rRNA from 1 species
CGGGUGAGUAACGCGUAGGCAACCUGCCCUUGACACAGGGAUAGCCUCGGGAAACCGGGAUUAAAACCUGAUGACGCCAAACAGUCACAUGGCUGUUUGGCCAAAGAUUUAUCGGUCAAGGAUGGGCCUGCGUCUGAUUAGUUAGUUGGUGGGGUAACGGCCUACCAAGACGACGAUCAGUAGCCGACCUGAGAGGGUGAUCGGCCACAUUGGAACUGAGACACGGUCCAAACUCCUACGGGAGGCAGCAGUGGGGAAUAUUGCACAAUGGGCGAAAGCCUGAUGCAGCAACGCCGCGUGAGCGAUGAAGGCCUUUGGGUCGUAAAGCUCUGUCCUUGGGGAAGAAACAAAUGACGGUACCCAAGGAGGAAGCCCCGGCUAACUACGUGCCAGCAGCCGCGGUAAUACGUAGGGGGCAAGCGUUAUCCGGAAUUAUUGGGCGUAAAGAGUACGUAGGUGGUCUCUUAAGCGCAGGGUUUAAGGCAAUGGCUUAACCAUUGUUCGCCCUGUGAACUGGGAGACUUGAGUGUAGGAGAGGAAAGUGGAAUUCCUAGUGUAGCGGUGAAAUGCGUAGAUAUUAGGAGGAACAUCAGUGGCGAAGGCGACUUUCUGGACUAUUACUGACACUGAGGUACGAAAGCGUGGGGAGCAAACGGGAUUAGAUACCCUGGUAGUCCACGCCGUAAACGAUGAGCACUAGGUGUCGGGGUCGCAAGGCUUCGGUGCCGUAGUUAACGCCAUUAA